CUCGAAUUUUCCAUGCUUUCUCUGCGUGCAAGCCAAACGCAUCGAUCGUUUUGUACGGGAAGUAAUAAUUUCUCUCCCUCUUUCCGCUCUCUCCUUAUCUCUUUCUCUCUCCCUCCUAGUUUUUUUUUUUCCUUAAAAAUUUUUGCUAGAGGGAGACGGGGGCUCAGUUUUUCUCUCGGGCUUUGCAUGAGCCUCUUCUUAGUCUUCUAUAUAUACCCGUGGAGUCUUCCAAGAGAUUUUGUUUGCAUGGAUGGAGAUUUCUAAUGGAGACCACCAGGUCAUGGCAACGCUUCCUUAGAAAAGUUCUUGCUGGGUGCCCCAAGACACACAGCAGCAGCAGCAGCAGCAGAAGAGGAAGCCAAGGCCUCAGCCAGAGCAAAACCUCAAGUGCCCAGAUGUGACCCACAACACCAAGUUCUGCUACUACAACAACUACAGCCUCUCCACCCAGAUACUUCUGUAAGGGUCAGGAGGUACUGGACCAAAGAGGCUCCUUAGAAAUGUCCAGUUUGGGUGGCUGCAGGAAGAACAAGCGGUCCUCCUCCUCUACAUCAAAGAGGGCCCAAGAUCAGCCCUCGCAACCAACUCCAAGCCACCACUACCCACUCUCCUCCCACCUCCCCUUUCUAUGACCCAGCGACCUCUCCUUAGCCUUUGCCAGGCCUCCACAAGCCACCCACCGCAUGCCAGUUAGGCUGGAUGACCAUGACCCGUUUCUUCUAGGAAACCCUAAACACCAACCCUGGUCAUAUCCCAGCAGCACUCCAGGUUUCCUUGACAUUCUGAGGGUGGACUCCUUGACGCCGCAACCACCACCAGUGGCUUCCACAAUCUCUACUAUGGCUUUGGGGGUCAUGGUAGUGUGGAGCAGGUAGAGGAUAGUGUUGCUGGGGAGGAGGCCGUGCUGCCUUUGAUGCAGGUCUAAGUGGUGCAACCACAACGACAACUUCAAGCACUCCAACAGCUAGCCAAGGGUCUUGCAGAGCUGCGGAUGGAGGGGAGAGCAAGGUGUUUAUGGGUCUGCAAUGGCAGGUUGGUGCGGAAGGCAACAUGGCAGCUAUGGACCCUGGAAGAGACUACUGGAAUGGAGGCGGUUCCUCUUGGCCUGGUCUCAUCAACAGCUCCCUGAUGUAGAGAGGUAAACAUAGAUUGAUAGGUAGGCAGUUAUUUUCUCCUUCAAAAUGGCAGUGUCUUAGUAGCCAUAUUUGGAAACAUUCUAGUUCCAUCUUCAUCCCUUUGUAUCGGUUUUUAUGUUUUGUUUUCUUUCUUUGUUGUUAUUUCCUUUGGUUUUUCCGUUGGGCUUUCCUUUUGAGUGGGUUAUUGGGCAAUUCUAUACUAAAACAUCAAGAUUGUUUUCCAACCAAGGAAUGGAUGGGGGCGAUGGAAUGGUG